rnacentral:rRNA from 1 species
GACGAACGCUGGCGGCGUGCUUAACACAUGCAAGUCGAACGGUAAGGCCCUUCGGGGUACACGAGUGGCGAACGGGUGAGUAACACGUGGGUGAUCUGCCCUGCACUUCGGGAUAGCCUGGGAAACUGGGUCUAAUACCGGAUAGGACCACUGCCUGCAUGGGUGGUGGUGGAAAGCUUUUGCGGUGUGGGAUGGGCCCGCGGCCUAUCAGCUUGUUGGCGGGGUGAUGGCCUACCAAGGCGACGACGGGUAGCCGGCCUGAGAGGGUGACCGGCCACACUGGGACGGAGAUACGGCCCAGACUCCUACGGGAGGCAGCAGUGGGGAAUAUUGCACAAUGGGCGCAAGCCUGAUGCAGCGACGCCGCGUGAGGGAUGACGGCCUUCGGGUUGUAAACCUCUUUCAGCACCGACGAAGCGCAAGUGACGGUAGGUGCAGAAGAAGGACCGGCCAACUACGUGCCAGCAGCCGCGGUAA